UACUAGCGGUCCAAGUCGCAGCCAUUUUUAUUGGGUCUAAAACAUCCGUAGCUUGCUUGGUAAGUUCCCUGUGAAAUUUUGCAUCUUAAAUGCAGAGCGAGCAGAGAGUACUGCCAGGCUAGAGACUGGGAGACGUAAGAAGUACGUUUAAAGUAGUGGUAAAAUACGUUAAUCUUAAACGGACUCACAAUAGCGAAGGCAUCUUACGAGAACAGUUCUGACAGUCAGGGAUGAAGGCUAGGGGCGCAAAACGGAUUAGAUACCCGUGUAGUCCUAGCAGUAAACACUGCACACUAAACAUCAGUACCUCCUCGAGAGGUAUUGGUGCUGUAGGGAAGCCGAAGAGUGUGCUACCUGGGAAGUAUAGUCGCAAGGCCGAAACUUAAAGGAAUUGGCGGGGAGACACUACAACGGGUGACGCGUGCGGUUCAAUUAGAUUAUACACCGUGAACCUCACCAGGAGCGACAGCAGGAUGAAGGUCAGUCUGAAGGGCUUACCUGACACGCUGAGAGGAGCUGCAUGGCCGACGUCAGCCUGUGCCGUGAGGUGACCUGUUAAAUCAGGUAACAGGCAAGACCCACAUGUAUAUUUACAAUUCAAUAUACAGAUUGCCUUGGUAACGAGGAUGAAAGUGUGGGCUACGUUAGGUGAGUACAGCCCGAAUCCCCUGGGCAACACGCGCGCGUCAAUGGUGGAUACAACGGGAUGCAACUCUGAAAAGAGAAGCUAAUCCCUUAAAGUCCUAUCUUAGUCUAGAUCGAGGUUUGCAACUCAGCCUCGUGACACUGGAAUCCGUAGUAAUCGUUUGUUAUCAACGAACGGUGAAUACGUCACUGUCUC
rnacentral:rRNA from 1 species